UGCCCUAGUAACGGCGAGUGAAGCGGCAACAGCUCAAUUUGAAAUCUGGCUUCGGCCCGAGUUGUAAUUUGCAGAGGAAGCUUUAGGCGCGGCACCUUCUGAGUCCCCUGGAACGGGGCGCCAUAGAGGGUGAGAGCCCCGUAUAGUUGGAUGCCUAGCCUGUGUAAAGCUCCUUCGACGAGUCGAGUAGUUUGGGAAUGCUGCUCAAAAUGGGAGGUAAAUUUCUUCUAAAGCUAAAUACCGGCCAGAGACCGAUAGCGCACAAGUAGAGUGAUCGAAAGAUGAAAAGCACUUUGAAAAGAGGGUUAAAUAGCACGUGAAAUUGUUGAAAGGGAAGCGCUUGUGACCAGACUUGCGCCGGGCAGAUCAUCCGGUGUUCUCACCGGUGCACUCUGCCCGGCUCAGGCCAGCAUCGGUUCUCGCGGGGGGAUAAAGGCCCUGGGAACGUAGCUCCUCCGGGAGUGUUAUAGCCCGGGGCGUAAUGCCUUCGCGGGGACCGAGGUUCGCGCAUCUGCAAGGAUGCUGGCGUAAUGGUCAUCAGCGACCCGUCUUGAAACACGGACCAAGGAGUCAAGGUUUUGCGCGAGUGUUUGGGUGUAAAACCCGCACGCGUAAUGAAAGUGAACGUAGGUGAGAGCUUCGGCGCAUCAUCGACCGAUCCUGAUGUUUUCGGAUGGAUUUGAGUAGGAGCGUUAAGCCUUGGACCCGAAAGAUGGUGAACUAUGCUUGGAUAGGGUGAAGCCAGAGGAAACUCUGGUGGAGGCUCGCAGCGGUUCUGACGUGCAAAUCGAUCGUCAAAUCUGAGCAUGGGGGCGAAAGACUAAUCGAACCAUCUAGUAGCUGGUUACCGCCA
rnacentral:rRNA from 1 species